GCCUCGGUAGCGCAGUAGGCAGCGCGUCAGUCUCAUAAUCUGAAGGCCGUGAGUUCGAACCUCACCCGGGGGCA